rnacentral:siRNA from 1 species
UGUAACUGCCUGUGACGUAUGUGU